UUUUAAUUUUUGUUUGGGAAGUGUUUCCCACCUUGAAAAGUCACAACUGAUUCUUAUGUCCGGAGAUACAUUUUCAGACGCAUCUUUUUUAAGUCAUUCUUCAGAUCAAAUUGAAUAGGCAUCCUAUUAUGCCAAAAUUUAACUCGAAGAUGUAUCUUUGUAUAAGUAAAAGGAACGUCCCAUGAUGCAUCUCCGUAAACAUAAUUAAUUCAAAAAUUAGUGGGUGGUCC
rnacentral:lncRNA from 1 species